rnacentral:lncRNA from 1 species
AUGAUUGCCUGUUUAGAUAUGGCUAUAGUUGAAAACUUUAUCCUUCAGCAUUCUUCUGGAUAUUUGACUUGGUCUUUGUGUCACAGAGAUUUUGACAUCUUCUCUGGAUAUUUGAGUGCAGCAACUGUUGGGAGCACGAAUUUGGUGUUUCACUUUCUCUAAACUCUGUUUUUUGGACUAACUAGCUUAAUGAUAGCUCUCUUUCCUGUGUUGAAACAUGCCCUAUCUUUGAAUCCCCCUUGCUAA